rnacentral:rRNA from 1 species
AACGAACGCUGGCGGCAGGCUUAACACAUGCAAGUCGAACGCAUCGCAAGAUGAGUGGCAGACGGGUGAGUAACGCGUGGGAAUCUACCUAGUUCUACGGAACAACAGUUGGAAACGACUGCUAAUACCGUAUACGCCCUACGGGGGAAAGAUUUAUCGGAAUUAGAUGAGCCCGCGUAAGAUUAGCUAGUUGGUGAGGUAAUGGCUCACCAAGGCGACGAUCUUUAGCUGGUCUGAGAGGAUGAUCAGCCACACUGGGACUGAGACACGGCCCAGACUCCUACGGGAGGCAGCAGUGGGGAAUAUUGGACAAUGGGCGCAAGCCUGAUCCAGCCAUGCCGCGUGAGUGAUGAAGGCCUUAGGGUUGUAAAGCUCUUUCACCGAUGAAGAUAAUGACGGUAGUCGGAGAAGAAGCCCCGGCUAACUUCGUGCCAGCAGCCGCGGUAAAAC